UGUGGAGGCCGUGGAUCAUCGUGUGGAUGCCUUAUGGGGAGGCAUCGGGCAAAGACCAAGUAAAAGAGGGAGGAGAGGACGUCGGAAAAGAUGCCCAGGGGUGGUCCCGUUGAGCGCCCCUUUAAGAACAAGGGUACUGCGAAGACACAGGCCCUUCCUCUAGCGCCAAUCCUGUUGGUGCAAAAAUCCGCUUACGUCGGAGAAGCUGGAGUCGCGGUCGCCGUCGAGACCUGUAAAAGAAGUCUAAACUGGAGGUGGGGUUGCUCCGGCA
rnacentral:lncRNA from 1 species